rnacentral:rRNA from 1 species
CGCUGGCGGCGUGCCUAAUACAUGCAAGUCGAACGCUUUGUGGUUCAACUGAUUUGAAGAGCUUGCUCAGAUAUGACGAUGGACAUUGCAAAGAGUGGCGAACGGGUGAGUAACACGUGGGAAACCUACCUCUUAGCAGGGGAUAACAUUUGGAAACAGAUGCUAAUACCGUAUAACAAUGACAACCGCAUGGUUGUUAUUUAAAAGAUGGUUCUGCUAUCACUAAGAGAUGGUCCCGCGGUGCAUUAGCUAGUUGGUAAGGUAAUGGCUUACCAAGGCGAUGAUGCAUAGCCGAGUUGAGAGACUGAUCGGCCACAAUGGGACUGAGACACGGCCCAUACUCCUACGGGAGGCAGCAGUAGGGAAUCUUCCACAAUGGGCGAAAGCCUGAUGGAGCAACGCCGCGUGUGUGAUGAAGGGUUUCGGCUCGUAAAACACUGUUGUAAGAGAAGAAUGACAUUGAGAGUAACUGUUCAAUGUGUGACGGUAUCUUACCAGAAAGGAACGGCUAAAUACGUGCCAGCAGCCGCGGUAAUACGUAUGUUCCAAGCGUUAUCCGGAUUUAUUGGGCGUAAAGCGAGCGCAGACGGUUAUUUAAGUCUGAAGUGAAAGCCCUCAGCUCAACUGAGGAAUUGCUUUGGAAACUGGAUGACUUGAGUGCAGUAGAGGAAAGUGGAACUCCAUGUGUAGCGGUGAAAUGCGUAGAUAUAUGGAAGAACACCAGUGGCGAAGGCGGCUUUCUGGACUGUAACUGACGUUGAGGCUCGAAAGUGUGGGUAGCAAACAGGAUUAGAUACCCUGGUAGUCCACACCGUAAACGAUGAGUGCUAGGUGUUUGAGGGUUUCCGCCCUUAAGUGCCGCAGCUAACGCAUUAAGCACUCCGCCUGGGGAGUACGACCGCAAGGUUGAAACUCAAAGGAAUUGACGGGGACCCGCACAAGCGGUGGAGCAUGUGGUUUAAUUCGAAGCAACGCGAAGAACCUUACCAGGUCUUGACAUCCCUUGACAACUCCAGAGAUGGAGCGUUCCCUUCGGGGACAAGGUGACAGGUGGUGCAUGGUUGUCGUCAGCUCGUGUCGUGAGAUGUUGGGUUAAGUCCCGCAACGAGCGCAACCCUUAUUACUAGUUGCCAGCAUUCAGUUGGGCACUCUAGUGAGACUGCCGGUGACAAACCGGAGGAAGGUGGGGAUGACGUCAAAUCAUCAUGCCCCUUAUGACCUGGGCUACACACGUGCUACAAUGGCGUAUACAACGAGUUGCCAACCCGCGAGGGUGAGCUAAUCUCUUAAAGUACGUCUCAGUUCGGAUUGUAGGCUGCAACUCGCCUACAUGAAGUCGGAAUCGCUAGUAAUCGCGGAUCAGCACGCCGCGGUGAAUACGUUCCCGGGUCUUGUACACACCGCCCGUCACACCAUGAGAGUUUGUAACACCCAAAGCCGGUGGGGUAACCUUCGGGAGCCAGCCGUCUAAGGUGGGACAGAUGAUUUAGGG